GUAUAGUGCAAUUUAUUCAGUCUAACAGUAUUCAGUCUAACAGUAACACACGUUGUCAGAUUAACCAGUUCGUGAUGUACUCGACCACGGAUAUUAUGGCAAAAGUUACAAGAUCCCUCUAAUGAAAUCUACUAAAGCUGUUUGUAGUAUGUCUACGGCACCAUGCUCUUGUGUCCGAAUCCUGCAUGUGGUGACAUUGGAGAGAGCACAGUUUGUACAUCUUGUGGUUUAAAGAGAGUACCAAUUCCAAUAGAGGCUGAUACAAAUGCUGGCAUUGAUGACGACUUGAUAAAGACACAAAGACAAUAUGAUACUUCUGGUCCAAAGCUCAAUAAACAACGGUUGCAACCUGAUUUUUGCCACUUCUGUGAGUGUUUCCUCGAGACCGGAUCAAGAUUUUGCCACAAAUGUGGGGAAGAAGUACAGUGGACAGGAACUACAGGUAAUGUGAGUAAUACAGUGGAUGAUAUAAAACGAUUAAGCCUAGAUAGAGAGAAGAAGACUGUAUGCACGAAUAUGACAGAGACAAGCAAAG